rnacentral:rRNA from 1 species
AGCGAACGCUGGCGGCAGGCCUAUCACAUGCAAGUCGAACGAACCGUUCGGGGUUAGUGGCGGGCGGGUGAGUAACACGUGGGAACGUGCCUUUAGGUUCGGAAUAACUCAGGGAAACAUGUGCUAAUAACGCAUGUGCACCUCGGGGGAAUGAUUCAUCGCCUUUAGAGCGGCCGCGUGUGAUUAGCUAGUUGGUUGCGGUAAUGGGUGACCAAGGCGACGCUCAGUAGCUGGUCGGAGAGGAUGAGCUGCCGCAUUGGGACGGAGACACGGCCCAAGCUCCGACGGGAGGCAGCAGUGGGGAAUCCUGCGCAAGGGGCGAAAGCCUGACGCUGCCAUGCCGCGUGAAUUAUGAAGGUCUUAGGAGUGUAAAAUUCUUUCACCUGGGACGAUAAUGACGGUACCCGGAGAAGAAGCCCCGGCUAACUUCGUG